rnacentral:rRNA from 1 species
UACGUAGGGGGCAAGCGUUGUCCGGAAUCAUUGGGCGUAAAGCGAGCGUAGGCGGCCCGAUAAGUCUGCUGUAAAAGUCAACGGCUCAACCGUUGAAAGCCGGUGGAUACUGUCGGGCUAGAGUUCGGAAGAGGCAAGUGGGAAUUCCUGGUGUAGCGGUGGAAUGCGCAGAUAUCAGGAGGAACACCUAUAGCGAAGGCAGCUUGCUGGGACGGAACUGACGCUAAGGCGCGAAAAGCGUGGGGAGCGAACAGG